rnacentral:rRNA from 1 species
UACGUAGGGUGCGAGCGUAAUCGGAAUUACUGGGCGUAAAGCGUGCGCAGGCGGUUUUGUAAGCCAGAUGUGAAAUCCCCGGGCUCAACCUGGGAAUGGCAUUUGGGACUGCAAGGCUGGAGUGUGGCAGAGGAGACUGGAAUUCCUGGUGUAGCAGUGAAAUGCGUAGAUAUCAGGAGGAAUACCGAUGGCGAAGGCAGGUCUCUGGGCUGACACUGACGCUCAUGCACGAAAGCGUGGGGAGC